UGAUCAAAUUUGUAUGGUUAUGGCCUGGAAGAAUUAUGACGUCAGAGGCUCUUCAACUAUACCGUACCUAUGCUUACUGUUCUGUUUUUGUUACACGCGGCUCUCGUGUGAAGGAUGGGAAACUCUGUGUUCCGCUAUUCGAGGAUACUGUCCAUUCCUAGGCCGAAAGUACUUCCCUAAGUCCCCUUCUUAAGCCAUUGCAACUUUACUUUGGAUGAUGUCUGACAUUUUCAGCACCUCCUGUUCCUAUAAACCCAAAGAAUAUGACCCCGAACAUGAAGUGUGUCUAAAAGGGAUCCUUCUCAGUACACAGGAAAAGAAAAAAAUAAAGUUGAGCCUUUCUUCUGCCUCCCACCCCAGACCUCAUUCACAUGGGGGUCAGACAUCCAUUUUGGCUUGAAUGCCUGGCUUUCAUUUUGAGGUCUGUGAAGCAGAGGUCAGACGAAAUGCAGAGCCGUCUUCUCAGAGUUAUAUUUCUGUUGAGCCGUUGAGCUGGGUGGUGUAAACCAGUCAGUGUUGGGGCAGUAAACUGACCCUAGCUUGGAUACUUCAAUUUGGGUUCAUGUCCCGUCCUUUAGGGCGCAAGUUCUGGUAGCUUAGAUCCACCUUGACAAAGGCAGAAGUGAGCCGGCGGCUUCAGCUUUUCCCAUCCCGACACUUGCAUACAGGAGCCUUACCUGUAUCCAAAUGAAGUGUGUUUGGCCAAUAGAUGCCGUCUAUAUGAUACCAGUCUCUGAGAACUUCCCUAACACUUUUUAACUGAAAGGAGUUAAGUCUUCCACUACAGUCACUUGGAGACUCCAUCCACUCACGUCUUCUUGUUCCUUUGCUGGCUGGAUGGCUAAUCUGAAGGCCUGUGUGGGAAGCACUGUUUACAGUAACCCUUACCGAGAUAGCAUACUGUCCCUUAGACUACCGCGCUGAGGCGACACUGGCUUAGAACUGUUGGGAGUGAAAGAUCAGUCACUGAGAAGGUUGGGUGCAUAGGUUUUCUCCAGUUCUUACAGGAGCCCUCCACUCUGAGGUGAUUCUCUAGUCCAAGAAUGGGAUGAACCGCUGAGUCAAUGAGGCGUAGCCACGGCAACCCACCAUAGUCCCAUUCUGCGACUACUGCCCCCUCCUCAACCCCACACUGCUCAAGUGUGACCCCAGGUAGUGUCAGCUGAAAUGGGGUUGGGGUGGAGUCCUGUCAGUAUUUGUGGUAGAGUCUGCAAUCUCUAACCAGUGGGGGGGUCUUGGCCCUAAAGAACCAGAGAUCGGCACCAGUUGAAGGGUUUCAACAUCACGUUCCCAAACCCUCCGAUUUCCAUUCGUUAUGCUUCCCACAGGCCAAGCGGAAACAGACACCAAAACUUGGGCUGAGGGUCCUACCAUGUGGAGAACUAGGGAAAACAAAACUUUUUUUGUUUUUUUUGUUUUUGUUUUUGUUUUUGUUUUUUUGCACCUUAUUGAAAAGAAACUUUUAAGCGCAUACAUAGCUAAGAGCUUUUUCUCGUGACAGGAGGACGUCUCCAUAUCGUAAUACUCUCUGUAACCCCAGUGUAAAAUGUACUUGCACUAGCUUUUUUAAAACAAAUAUUAAAAAAAAUGGAAGAAUUCAUAUUCUAUUUUCUAAUCGUGGUGUGUCUAUUUGUAGGAUACACUCGAGUCUGUUUAUUGAAUUUUAUGGUCCCUUUCUUUGAUGGUGCUUGCAGGUUUUCUAGGUAGAAAUUAUUUCAUUAUUAUAAUAAAACAAUGUUUGAUUCAAAAUUUGAACAAAAUUGUUUUAAAUAAAUUGUCUGUAUACCAGUACAAGUUUAUUGUAUAAUACUCGUACUACUAAUAAAAUAACAGUGCCAAUUGC
rnacentral:lncRNA from 1 species